GACGAACCGUCCAAACGUUUAUUCGGAAUCACUGGGCUUAAAGGGUGCGUAGGCGGCGCGGAAAGUUGGGUGUGAAAUCCCUCGGCUCAACCGAGGAAUUGCGCCCAAAACUUCCGUGCUCGAGGAAGAUAGAGGUGAGCGGAACUUAGGGUGGAGCGGUGAAAUGCGUUGAUAUCCUAAGGAACACCGGUGGCGAAAGCGGCUCACUGGAUCUUUUCUGACGCUGAGGCACGAAAGCUAGGGUAGCGAACGGG
rnacentral:rRNA from 1 species